AUACCUUUCUCCGCCUUUUGGCUAAGAUCAAGUGUAGUAUCUAUUCUUAUCAGUAGACUGUCCCUACUUUCAUGUCAUACAUCUUAGGACCUGACAAUCUAUUUUGACCUGUAUUGUUCUUCUUGUUUAUAGGCACAUGUUGUUUCAGCGAUUUUGAAUUUUAGUGAGAAUUGUACACAAGAAAUCGGCGAAGCAUCA
rfam:Zea mays cultivar B73 chromosome 6, whole genome shotgun sequence.